rnacentral:rRNA from 1 species
UCGAGCGGUAGAGAGAAGCUUGCUUCUCUUGAGAGCGGCGGACGGGUGAGUAAUGCCUAGGAAUCUGCCUGGUAGUGGGGGAUAACGUUCGGAAACGGACGCUAAUACCGCAUACGUCCUACGGGAGAAAGCAGGGGACCUUCGGGCCUUACGCUAUCAGAUGAGCCUAGGUCGGAUUAGCUAGUUGGUGGGGUAAUGGCUCACCAAGGCGACGAUCCGUAACUGGUCUGAGAGGAUGAUCAGUCACACUGGAACUGAGACACGGUCCAGACUCCUACGGGAGGCAGCAGUGGGGAAUAUUGGACAAUGGGCGAAAGCCUGAUCCAGCCAUGCCGCGUGUGUGAAGAAGGUCUUCGGAUUGUAAAGCACUUUAAGUUGGGAGGAAGGGUUGUAGAUUAAUACUCUGCAAUUUUGACGUUACCGACAGAAUUAGCACCGGCUAACUCUGUG